AGGUGGUUAUAGCGUUGGGGUUCCACCUCUUCCCAUUCCGAACAGAGAAGUUAAGCCCAACCACGCCGAUGGUACUGCGUAAAAGUGGAGAGUAGGUAGCCGCCGUUUU
rnacentral:rRNA from 1 species